CACAGAGUUAGCCGGUGCUUAUUCUGUCGGUAACGUCAAAACAAUUACGUAUUAGGUAACUGCCCUUCCUCCCAACUUAAAGUGCUUUACAAUCCGAAGACCUUCUUCACACACGCGGCAUGGCUGCAUCAGGCUUGCGCCCAUUGUGCAAUAUUCCCCA
rnacentral:rRNA from 1 species